rnacentral:rRNA from 1 species
AAAUGAUUAUAAGAUUAAAUUACCUUAGGGAUAACAGCGUAAUUUUAUUGGAGAGUUCAAAUCGAUAAUAAAGAUUGCGACCUCGAUGUUGGAUUAAAAUUAAAUUUUGGUGUAGCAGCUAAAAGAUAAAGUCUGUUCGACUUUUAAAAUUUUACAUGAUCUGAGUUUAAACCGGUGUAAGCCAGGUUGGUUUCUAUCUUUAAAUAGUUAAUAUAUUUUAGUACGAAAGGAUUAAAUAUAUAUAA